ACCGGUAUCAAUGGCAGGAAUGUUCUUGGUGAUGCAACUCUUACCUCUCGCAUAUCGAUCCAGAAAUUUUGUUGUGUAGUCUCACAGUUUAGCAAUUUCAAACGCGGGCAUACAGUUUAGCAAUUUCAAACGCGAACAAGAAAUAAAUGAUGCCUUUGGUCUGCCCCAAGGUAGUAGGAUUACUCCCCCAGGACAUACAGACUUAUCGGAAGUAUGCAUAGAGUUCAACAGACAGGCCUCAAGCAUUAGUACAAAAGGGGUACACAACCUGAAGGCCGCUGAAUUCAUAGUAUCGAAGCCAUUAGACGAGAAUUCAAGCAGAGUCAAUUGCGAAUGCUUCAAGGUAGUAGGAUUAUUCCCCCAGGGCAUUUUUCAAAUGUGCGGAAUCAAUGUACUCUAGCUUGCCUUGCAAUUCUAUUGGAUGGACUAGAGCAUACCCCACGGUAAUGACUGAAAAGUUCUCAAGUGAGCAGUCAGGCAUUUGUUCGAUUUACAUCAGAGGAAAUACGACGGCGACAAUCUUCAGAGCCCGACCACAAAGGAAACACAUAGCAUUGGCACGCAUCGCCACCCUGCACAAAAUUCUGAAGCUUGAACGGAACCGAUCCGAUGCACAUAACACAGCAAUGCAGCAUAUCAAAUCAUCUAUAAACACUCUGUGGUCAUUUUUUCGGAGUUCAGAAUGUCAGUAUUCAGGAGAGGAAUGUACCCUAGUCGGCUUUGAUAUAUUUUUCAGAAUUAUUUUUGGUCACGUCCGUCCCUGACAACAUUCAAGAUUUUUUGCAUUUUCUUCCAGCUGUGAA